rnacentral:tRNA from 1 species
UUCGGAGUGGAGCAGUUUGGUAGCUUAUAAGACUCAUGAUCUUUGGUCACAGGUUCAAAUCCUGUCUCCGUAA